rnacentral:tRNA from 1 species
GCCCAGCCAACUCAGUCAGUAGAGCAUGAGACUAUUAAUCUUAGGGUUGUGGGUUUGAGCCCCAUGUUGAGCA